rnacentral:misc_RNA from 1 species
GGGUUAUAGUAUCCGGGACCUAAACCCUAGCUCUGAUAAGUUCACACCAUUGCUGAAGAAAAACAAAAGUAACAGAGUAACCAAUGGUGAAGGCAUAUCUCCGAUAUGAGCCAGCGGCUUCUUUUGGGGUUAUAGUAUCCGGGGAAUCAAAUAUUGUCUAUGACAGCUCCGGCAAGCACUUGCUAGCGGCGGCGUUGGAGAAAAUCGGUAUAUGGCAUGUAAGGCAGGGUCUUUGCACUAAAACCCUAGCUCCUUUACCUUCAUCGGACUCAAAAGGUCCCUCUCUUGCGGUUACAUCAAUGGCAUCCUCUUCAUCAUCCCAAAUAGCAAGUGGUUAUGCUGAAGGAAGCAUUAGAAUCUGGGAUUCUGAGAAAGGUAUAUGUGAAACCACAUUGAAUGGGCAUAAGGGUGCUGUGACGGCCCUUCGAUACAAUAAGCUUGGAUCAUUACUAGCAUCAGGGAGCAAAGAUAAUGACAUUAUUUUAUGGGAUGCAGUGGGUGAGACUGGCCUGUUCCGCCUUCGGGGACA